rnacentral:other from 1 species
AGAACCCUUCUGUGUUCGUGAAUUGGCGAUUUCCUCGACCUUUCUAUGAAUACGGGGGCUGUUGCCAUCAGGUAGCUAAGAUUCUGCCCUUUGCGAAGGGACCUUCGAGGCCACCGGCUUGCCCCCCCUUUGAACUCCGGUUCAAGGACUCAGCCUUAACGGCAUGGCAGGGUUCUU